rnacentral:rRNA from 1 species
AGCGAACGCUGGCGGCAGGCUUAACACAUGCAAGUCGAGCGGGCAUCUUCGGAUGUCAGCGGCAGACGGGUGAGUAACACGUGGGAACGUACCCUUCGGUUCGGAACAACUCUGGGAAACUGGAGCUAAUACCGGAUACGCCCUUAUGGGGAAAGGUUUACUGCCGAAGGAUCGGCCCGCGUCUGAUUAGCUGGUUGGUGGGGUAACGGCCUACCAAGGCGACGAUCAGUAGCUGGUCUGAGAGGAUGAUCAGCCACACUGGGACUGAGACACGGCCCAGACUCCUACGGGAGGCAGCAGUGGGGAAUAUUGGACAAUGGGGGCAAGCCUGAUCCAGCCAUGCCGGGUGAGUGAUGAAGGCCUUAGGGUUGUAAAGCUCUUUUGUCCGGGACGAUAAUGACGGUACCGGAAGAAUAAGCCCCGGCUAACUUCGUG